rnacentral:rRNA from 1 species
UCAAGUUAUUAAGGGUGCAGGGCGGAUGCCUUGGCACUAGGAGCCGAUGAAGGACGUGAUAAGCUGCGAUAAGCUUCGGGGAGUUGCACGUAAACUUUGAUCCGAAGAUUUCCGAAUGAGGAAACUCACUUAGAGUAAUGUCUAAGUAUCAUUAAGUGAAUACAUAGCUUAAUGAGGGGAACUCAGGGAACUGAAACAUCUAAGUACCUGAAGGAAGAGAAAGAAAUUCGAUUCCGUAAGUAGCGGCGAGCGAACGCGGAUUAGCCCAAACCAAUAAAGUUUUCUUUAUUGGGGUUGCGGACAUAUCAUAACGAAGAGGUAUCGUAAUUGAAGAGGUUUGGAAAGACCCACCACAGAAGGUAAUAGUCCUGUAUGUUAAACGAGAAGACUUCAGAUAUGAUCCAGAGUACCACGGGACACGUGAAAUCCUGUGGGAAGCAGGAGGGACCACCCUCCAAGGCUAAAUACUACCUAGUGACCGAUAGCGUAUAGUACCGUGAGGGAAAGGUGAAAAGAACCCCGGGAGGGGAGUGAAAUAGAACCUGAAACCCUGCACUUACAAGCUGUGGAAGCACAUUUCUUGUGUGACCGCGUACUUUUUGUAGAACGGGCCAACGAGUUACGUUAAGUAGCAAGGUUAAGCACUUAAGGUGUGGAGCCGUAGCGAAAGCGAGUUUUAACUGAGCGUUCAGUUACUUGACGUAGACCCGAAACCGGGCGACCUACCCAUGAGCAGGAUGAAGCGAAAGUAAAAUUUCGUGGAGGUCCGAACCCACGAGCGUUGAAAAGCUCGGGGAUGACUUGUGGGUAGCGGUGAAAUUCCAAUCGAGCCCGGAGAUAGCUGGUUCUCCCCGAAAUAGCUUUAGGGCUAGCCUCAAGGUGAGAGAUACGGAGGUAGAGCACUGAAUGUCCUAGGGGGUAUUGCACCUACCGAAGACUAUCAAACUCCGAAUGCCGUCAUCUUAUACUUGGGAGUCAGACUGUGGGUGAUAAGAUUCAUAGUCGAAAGGGCAACAGCCCAGAUCGUCAGCUAAGGUCCCUAAAUGUAAGUUAAGUGGUAAAGGAUGUGGGAUUGCACAGACAACCAGGAUGUUGGCUUAGAAGCAGCCACUCAUUCAAAGAGUGCGUAAUAGCUCACUGGUCGAGUGAUCCUGCGCCGAAGAUUUCCGGGGCUAAAACUUACUACCGAAGCUACGGCAUCAGUAAUGAUGGGUAGGGGAGCUUCCCAUACGGGUUGAAGCAUGACCGUAAGGACAUGUGGACAGUAUGGGAGUGAGAAUGUUGGCAUGAGUAGCGAGAUGUGGGUGAGAAUCCCACAGGCCGUAAACCCAAGGUUUCCAGGGGAAGGUUCGUCCGCCCUGGGUUAGUCGGGACCUAAGCUGAGGCCGAAAGGCGUAGGUGAUGGACAACAGGUUGAUAUUCCUGUACUACCGAUAACCGUUUGAGAGAAGGGAUGACACAGUAGGAUAAGCUAAGCACACUGUUGGUUAUGUGUGCCCAAGCAUUGAGGCAGUCAAAGUAGGCAAAUCCGCUUUGAUAAUGCUGGGAUGUGAUGGGGAGCGAAAUUUAGUAGCGAAGUAGCUGAUUUCACACUGUCAAGAAAAGUCUCUAUCGAGGUUAAAGGUACCCGUACCGCAAACCGACACAGGUGGGUGAGGAGAGUAUCCUAAGGCCAGCGAGAGAACUGUUGUUAAGGAACUCGGCAAAAUGACCCCGUAACUUAGGGAUAAGGGGUGCCACCAUCAGGUGGCCGCAGAGAAUAGGCCCAAGCGACUGUUUACCAAAAACAUAGGUUUCUGCUAAGUCGCAAGACGAUGUAUAGGAGCUGACGCCUGCCCGGUGCUGGAAGGUUAAGGGGAUCUGUUAGAGCAAUCGAAGCAGUGAACUUAAGCCCCAGUAAACGGCGGCCGUAACUAUAACGGUCCUAAGGUAGCGAAAUUCCUUGUCGGGUAAGUUCCGACCCGCACGAAAGGCGUAACGAUUUGGGCACUGUCUCAACAACAGACUCGGUGAAAUUGUAAUUCCGGUGAAGAUGCCGGAUACCUGCGACAGGACGGAAAGACCCCAUGGAGCUUUACUGUAGCUUGACAUUGGGUCUUGGUACUACAUGUACAGGAUAGGUGGGAGGCUUUGAAACCAGGACGCCAGUUUUGGCGGAGCCAUCCUUGGGAUACCACCCUUGUAGUACUGGGACUCUAACCAUAGGCCAUGAAUCUGGUCUUGGGACACUGUCAGGUGGGCAGUUUGACUGGGGCGGUCGCCUCCCAAAAGGUAACGGAGGCGCUCAAAGGUUCUCUCAGUACGGUCGGAAAUCGUACGUAGAGUGUAAAGGCAAAAGAGAGCUUGAUUGCAAGACAUACAGGUCGAGCAAGGAUGAAAAUCGGACUUAGUGAUCCGGUGGUUCUGCGUGGAAGGGCCAUCGCUCAACGGAUAAAAGCUACCCUGGGGAUAACAGGCUUAUCUCCCCCAAGAGUCCACAUCGACGGGGAGGUUUGGCACCUCGAUGUCGGCUCAUCACAUCCUGGGGCUGUAGUAGGUCCCAAGGGUUGGGCUGUUCGCCCAUUAAAGUGGUACGCGAGCUGGGUUCAGAACGUCGUGAGACAGUUCGGUCCCUAUCCGUCGCAGGCGUAGGAAAUUUGAGAAGACCUGUCCUUAGUACGAGAGGACCGGGAUGGACGUACCUCUGGUGUACCAGUUGUUCUGCCAAGGGCAUGGCUGGGUAGCUAUGUACGGAAUGGAUAAGCGCUGAAAGCAUCUAAGCGCGAAGCCAACUUCAAGAUAAGAUUUCCCACCGCAAGGGUAAGACCCCAGAAAGACUAUCUGGUUGAUAGGUCGAAGGUGUAAGUGCAGCAAUGUAUUUAGCUUAUCGAUACUAAUAGGUCGAGGACUUGACCAA